CUGCCCGCCUCGGCCUCCCAAAGUGCUGGGAUUACAGGCGUGAGCCACCGCGCCCGGCCCGUGAAACUUGCUUUCUUAAAAAAUAAUAAUAACUUGUUAUCUGAAGAAAAUUAAAAGAUUAUCUUUUAAGAGAGAUAAACAUUCUUACAAAAAACUAUAUUUUCCUCUAUCAUCUCUUUAAAAGAAAUGCAAACCAGUUCAUUAUCUUUGUUUUUUUGAGAGUCACACUCUAUUGCCCAGGCUGGAGUGCAGUGGCGCCAUCUCGGCUCACUGCAAUCUCUGCCUCCUGGGUUCAAGCAAUUCUUCUGCCUCAGCCUCCCAAGUAGCUGGGAUUACAGGCACAUGCCUCCAUGCCUGGCUAAUUUUUUAAUUUUUAGUAGAGGUGAGGUUUUGCCAUGUUGGCCAGGCUGGUCUGGAACUCCUGGCCUCAAGUGAUCUGCCCGCCUCAGCCUCCCAAAGUGCUGGGAUUACAGGUGUGAGCCACCACGCCCGGCCUAGUUCAUUAUCUUUAAUAAUGAACUAGACAAUAAACUAAUUGUUGUCUAAAAACUUCUGAAUACAUGAAGUACAAGUCUGAGCUGUCAAGUCAAAAAUGCCAUUUAGAUUUCACAUAUUAAACAGCUAUAGUAGGCCAGGCGCGGUGGCUCACACCUGUAAUCCCAGCACUUUGGGAGGCCGAGGCAGGUGGAUCACGAGGUCAAGAGAUCAAAACCAUCCUGGCUACCAUGGUGAAACCCCGUCACUAUUAAAAAUACAAAAAGUUAGCCAGGCGUGGUGGCAGGCGCCUGUACUUCCCAGCUACUCGAGAGGCUGAGGAAGGAGAAUCACUUGAACCCGGGAGGUGGAGCCUGCAGUGAGCCAAGAUCACGCCACUGCACUCCAG
rnacentral:lncRNA from 1 species